rnacentral:lncRNA from 1 species
CUGUAAGAGUCCAUAAAGUGACAGAAUGAGUGAAUGUGCAAAGAAACUAUUCCAAGAACCAGGAAAAUACAAGAAGAGUUAAUAAUAACCCAAGCAAUUAAAAUGAUGCAUAUCAGGUACUGGGGAUGCUUUAGUGUGCUUGGGCUGCCAUAACAAAGUACCACUGAUUGGGUGGCUUAAACAACCAACUUAUUUUUCACGAUUCUGGAGGCUUGAAUUUCAAGAGCAAGAUACUAGCAAAUUUGGUUUCUGGUGAAGACUCUCUUCCUAGCUUGCAAAUCACCCACCUUCUUGCUGUGUCCUCACAUGGCCUUUUCCUCUGUGCUUACAGCGAGAGAGAGAGAGAGAGAGAUCUGGUGUCACUCUACUUAUAAAGAUACAACUUCUAUUUCAUAAGGGUCCCACCCUUAUUACUGCCUUUAACCUUACUUAGUUCCUUAAAGGUUCUCUAAGAUGGUGGGGUGGGGUGGCAUUCAGUUCAGAACAGGAGAUAUGGCUAAAGUACUGGAAAGAAAAAUGUACAGCCUAAAAGAGGUACCUGCCCAUCCAUUCAUCUACUCCUCCCUCCAACCACUCCUCCCACUAUCCAUUCAGUAUACAUACAUUAAGACAAAAUUUUAAAACUCAAAAAGAUAUAUAGAAAGACUUAAUACAAGUAAAA